rnacentral:rRNA from 1 species
GGAGUUUGGCAGAGGGGGGUGGAAUUCCACGUGUAGCAGUGAAAUGCGCAGAGAUGUGGAGGAACACCAAUGGCGAAGGCAGCCCCCUGGGUCGAUACUGACGCUCAUGCACGAAAGCGUGGGUAGCAAACAGGAUUAGAUACCCUGGUAGUCCACGCCCUAAACGAUGUCAACUAGGUGUUGGGAGGGUAAAACCUUUUAGUGCCGUAGCUAACG